rnacentral:rRNA from 1 species
CUGCCAGGGAUAACCUGGAGGAAGGUGGGGAUGACGUCAAAUCAUCAUGCCCCUUAUGCUUAGGGCUACACACGUGCUACAAUGGGUAGUACAGAGGGGUGCCAAGCCGUAAGGCGGAGCUAAUCCCUUAAAGCUACUCUCAGUUCGGAUUGUAGGCUGAAACUCGCCUACAUGAAGCUGGAGUUACUAGUAAUCGCAGAUCAGA